UGCUUCUAGCAAUUCCACAAU
rnacentral:piRNA from 1 species